AGGAAUGAAAAUGAAGCUGAAUGGAAUGUAAUUCAUCAUCAUCAUUCUGGUUCUACAUGGCAAUGCAAUGUAAUUAUUGUGAGUUUCAGAAAAGUUUGCAUAAGUUUGAAACAGACACUGUACUCUGGCCAGCAAUCAUUCCAAUGGCCAUAUCCAGUCCAGAUCUCUCCGCAGGUUAUACAAAUGAGAGGAUGGAGAUUAAAUGAAGUUGGUUGACAACCAGAACCCUUUCCCACAACAUCCAGGAAAGUAUCAGUAUUCGGUGAUUUAACGAGAAGGAAACAGAAUUGCACACUGAGGAAGAAAGAAACAAGGAACUUGGAUUUUGCCAAAUAGCCUUAAAAAACAAUAAUUAAGAGGGCCUCUGAAUGAAGUUGGUGAGGACAGACCUGUGCUGCUUCCUGUUAGUAAAUACAAAGAAUAGAAUCUAAUAGGACUCAGGGGAAAGCAAUAGCUUGGGAAUAGCCUUGGAACUGAAGACAAACAUACUCAGAGGAUGCAAAGCGGUUUGAAAAUGAUUUGUGGAUGGCAUUGUGUGGCUGGAUGCUAUUCCUCUUUGUUAAGACUAUAUUGGGUUAAAGCAUUUAUACAAACGGAACAAAGAAUGCUGAUUUCAAAGCAAUUUAAACUGCAUGCCUAAAACAAGCCAAGUCCUGAAGGUAACACCUGCUGUCUUGUAGAAAGCAACCUACAGUGUGGUGGAAGGAAAACAGAAAAUGCUGAAUUAGAAUUAAAAUGCAUCUAGAUAGCUGGGAGAUCUAGAUGGCUCGAAGGAUGUUUAAUAUAACUCUGGUUUAAAUGUAAA